CAAGAUGAAGAGAGGCGGUGAGCACGAGAGAAGGACACGAACCACUUUUAUGAAAGCGAAUCCCCGGAGUCCCUUGCACAAGAGGGGAAACGUCUCCCGGCCUUACACCGAGCAGUAACGUCGCCUGACCUCCAGGAAGUUACCACGGCCGUUCUGGAGGCGAUCUACCUCCAGCCUAUUUACAAAUACAAAGUGAUAAUAUAUACACCUCUGAUGUAUCUUACAAACCUCCAGCCAACAUGAACACCUUUUUGCCUUUAUAGUGUGUCUAUUACUAUACUACGGAAACUGCUAAUUUUAUUCUCCGCUGUUUCAUGCAGACGGUAGCAGGGUGAGAAAGCUAAAUAUUUUAUUCAGUACUUAUUUGGAAAAAGCGCAUGUAUUUGUAUCUCCGGCGACUGAUGCAGCAUGCACUUAUCUUACUAAGUCACGCUAAAAGUACAAUCUCACCUUUUCAUAUCAAAACAAGUCAUGCACACACCAUGCUUACAAAUAAUGUAAAGCGAUUGUCUAAAACCAGUUACAUGUUCCUCUUAUUUCUCCCCAUAUUCUUAAUGUUUGAUUAGCUAAUAAAAACCUAAUACAAAAAUAUGAACAAACUUGUGCGUUUUCUGAUUAAAUUUUGGACAAGGCAGAAUUAAAUUGUCUAGGUUUUCCUACAAAGCAUCAUCAUACAUAUGGCUGCCACGUAUUUGAUUUGUUUUUGUUAAACAAACUAAUAAUAUACCAUUAAAAGAAAUUCAGCUAUUCCCCCGUUUAGACCAUAUUUUAUUUAUAAAUCUGAGAGACAGCACGUGGACCGUUUUGUUCAAUAUCUGUGUCACAUUAUUUAACCUAACAUCAAAAAACAUUUCCCAAAAUAUAUAUACGCUAAAUUCUAUAUUGUUUCCUUAUGAUUUUUUAUAAUCUUCUAAUGUGCAAUAAAAAUACGAUUGAGACACAUUUCUGAACUAUCAUAAAAUAUAUCACCAAAAUUACUAAAGGAAUAUAAAGCAAUAAUACAUCUUAAUUGGAUAGAAAUAAGGUCAAGGCCUUUCUCGUUCAUUUACAAUUUAGAGUGAACAAAUAGAAUUCUGCUAAGUAAAAGCUAUGUUUAAUUAUUAUUGAUGUACUGUAGAAUUUGCAGCUCCUUAUUAUAAGCAAUCAUGCCGUUUGUCUCCUAAAAUCCUGGUUUUAUUUUAUAUUGAGAUAAUUAUUUCACGGAACAGUUUAAAACAAGAAGGCGUUUCCCUUACAAAAAUCUAUGCAGUGUAUAUAUUAUAGUAGCAAAUAAGGACAAGCAAUUGUCGCUAACAUAGUAAUAGGAAGGCUCCCAAAACUUUAUGGUAGGGAAUAUUAAAUACAGAAAAGCUAAAUAUGGUUUUCAUCUGCCCCUUCAACAUUAAAAAAUAAGUGUAUGGGAACACCCAUGCACCCACUGUUCCUAUAUGUGUGCGCAAAUAUUUAGUAUAUAUAUAUCCCGCAUCUUAACCCUACGCAUUUACAAUUCUACUAUGAAGUGUCUCCUUUCUGCGUACUAAUCUGUGCAUAACUUUGGAUAUUCUCUCUGUUACUUGUUUAAUGCUAAGUGUGUUGUUUCUCACAAAUAUUCCAAUGUGAGCUAAACGGUCACAUCCACAAAUGUGCAAACAGCAAUCCCUGUUGGGUUUCAAUCCAUAUUCCAAGGGGAGGCAAUUCACUCCGUAUUGGUGCUUUAUUUGCCCUCUAUCAUUGUCCAUUUGCUUAUGUUUGAUCUUUUCUUUCUGUUCCUUCUGAGCAUAUUGUAAAAACAAGAAUAACAUGGAAAUGCGACGGGGAUGGAGAAAGAGACAGGUUCCCCCGGGCCCGCCUGAGGAGACUCUCAGCAGCGCCACCCUCCGGUCCCAGGAAGAAGCACUGCCAUGUUUCAAAAAUCUUGUUGCAAAGGACAAACGACUGGUUAUUUUGCCCAGUAAAGCACCAGAAUUAACAGAAAUCAUGCCAUGUGAGUCACAGCGGUGAGGCAUGACGUUAAGCCACCCAAUAAACACGAACACCGGAUUGAAUGCGGAUCCACUGAUAUUAACCUAUAUGUGACAAACAUCAGAGUUAAGUUAAAUCUUCGAAACAAACAAAACUAUGAAAUCAGCAGGCGAGAACAAGGGAGGAAAACGUGCCGUUAAAGAAACAAAAGGAUAAAAGCACUGGAUUACAAUCCGCUUUUUAAAACGGUCACACUGUAAAUAAAAGAUUUAUCUUGAAACAAAAUCCACAUAGAAGAAGAGAUGAAGCAGAAACAGGAAAAUCCUAUUACUCUAAUUUCACACAAAACCGCACACCAAUGUCAAUAAAACAAAUAAUCCAACGAAAAGCCCGAUGUUGUCAGAUCGCAGGGUGCAGCACCCGUUUCUUUUAAAUACAGGACAGACACAACACAAAUUGUGAAAGCCUGAAUCCUCCUUUCUCACUCCCAGCAUGUACUUCGAUUAAUGUAAAGAGCUUCUGAUUUCCACGAAGAAACCGGUAAGUACCAAGACGAAAUGCAAUUUUAUGGACGGAUCUAGACAUAAUAGAACCACUUCGGGACUUGGCAGCAUUGACUGAAAUAUAAACAGCGAUGAAAGGGCCCAGCAUAUUUCUGGGGGCAAAAUAGAUAGCCUCGUGCAUUUUAACACCUCUCCUGCCAGCCCAACAACUGGAAGCUCUGUGUUUUGAAAGUAUGCCUCUGACGCAGAUAGCCAUUCUCGAUACUGGCUUUGAUUUAAGGGUUGAGCUCUCAGUCGCUCAGCAGGAGUUCACGAACAGGUGAGAUUUGAUAAGGUUGCAUUUACUUUCCUCUCUUUUGGGAUAAAUGUACUUGCCUAGACAGGUAAGAACACUUUAUUGGGUCAACAGUGGCUUCUAGUCUUUUCCUCGUGAACUUUUCUUGCCUCGGAUUUUGUCAGUCGAGUAGUUUUUCCUUAACUAAUGAUCUGCCUCGAAAUGAAGUGUCUUUCCCCCCUUACUCCUGCUGGUUUUGUUUAUCCCGCUAACCUGCAAAAAGAAUCGUAUUCCUCUUAAAGUAGAUUUUAAAUGUAGUGUAUUGUGAAUCACUUACUAAGUGACAUAUAACGACACUAAAAUGGUUCCUGAUCCCAUCCACACGGUCUGGACUCUUUUUCCUUCUGAAUUGACUCCUUUAUCUCCUGUGGUGUCUACAGGAAAAAGCCCAUUUCAAAUAAAACAAUGCAUUUGAAAAAUGAAUCUCUAUUCAGCUAUUCAAAUGAGUCGAUGUUUCUACCUUUAAUUUCAAUCUAAUGCAAGAUGCAGGAUUAAAGCAGUACUGUUGUCAACUCCCAGACGCUGACAAUACAAACAAUCUAGUCACUCCUUUAAAGAGGUACUAUACAAAAGUAAAUGGAGGACAAAUUAUAUGAGAAAUUCUACAAAAAUGUUAAUAUUUUUGAAACUAUGUGUUAUUAAUGUUGAGUAAUUAACUAUACCCAGAUCAGGAUUCUGGAGAAUUGCCAGGAAGUCAAUUUAUAAAUUUGUGUUAAUUUAUAAAAUUAACACAAAUGUCACCUAGGAAUUCGAGUGUUUUCGCCUCCACCCUUCUCUCCUACCCCCAUUUUUUGUCGCGCCAGGUGUGUGACUGAUAGAUUGUCCGAAUGGAUCUAGAGUAUGUUUUCCUGAUAGAGGAAGCAAAGAAUCUGUAGCUCAGCCGCACUACAGUUCUUUCCAUCAGCUGUACUAGGGGUUCCCGAGAUCUUUAUUUUGCAAGUUACAGGAGCACUGAUAAGUUAAUCGCCUACACCUGACUCGAUCCUGCUGCUAUUGCAGUCAGUGAAAACAGGAUCCGGUCCAUCAGAUUUAUGAACUAUUGAGGAGGAAGGGGAAAGACCACAACACAGCUAAGAAGGCGCUCAGGAUCGGUCCCUAACAACUCCGGAUUCUAUAAUUGCCUGAUUAUGAUAACCGAGCCCUGUUACAAAGUUCUUUUACACAAUCACAGGAGAUAUCGCUCUGUGCAUUGUCAUAGCGAUGCUGCACUGCCAGGAUUUUUUGUUGGUUUGUUUUUUUGGUUUUGGUCCCAUAAUUUGUAUUGAUGUGAUAGAAUCCAUUAUUUUAUGCGUGAGAAUACAUUUCCUUACAUCAUUCAAUUCCUGCUCUAAAACAGAUUAGAAAAUAUCUGUGCACUAAAACCAGGUAAGGAGGAAAAAAUCUUUAAAAUUAAAAUGACAAAUAAAUACUGUCCAAUCAUUGCUUUUGGCCACAAAGACAAUUGGAUAAUGAGAAAAUGUAUGUUUUCUUUGUUUAAAGCAACAUAUUUUUGUUAAAUAGUUUAUAAUGCAGGUAAACUAUGUAAUGCAUACUGUAAGUUAAUUUUUGUGAAUGCUGCUAGAUAUAUACAAGCUGUUUGGAUAGUUCAAAUUGUCAGGAUGCCCACAUUAUACAUGGUCUUGUGUGGAUCAUUGAAGUAUGGAGACAGACCUAUUAAAAUAUAUUGUUUUUUCCCAUCAGUGUCAAAAAGAAAGCAUUUAUUUUGAAUGUUGGGUGCAAUAGUUAUAUUAUAAUUUAUGGAAUCUAUAAAAAUAAACAUGUAGCUUGUAUAUUGGUUGCCCUGUACCCAUUUUCACCAAUCCAUUGUUCAAAAACACUUUGUUGACUUUGAAAAGUUACCAGAGUCAUAACUGUUUGCAAUGUUGCUGUAGCUUUGGUGGUCUCCGGAUAUUAGAGACAAGGUGAGUGAGGUCAUAACUUUUAUGGACAAGCUUCUGUUGGUGAAAGAGACAAACUUUCACCAAGGAGCUCUGUGGGAGCUGGAAAGAUAGUCUGCUUCACCUACAGACAGACUCUGGUCCAGUGAAAGGUAUUACCUAACCUUCCUUGUCUCUGGAGUCAUAGUAACAUACUAGCAGUAGCUAAGUAGUGAAUUUAGGUAAAACAUACACAAAUCCCUAUAGUUUCCUACUUGUGGAAUCCAACACAAACAACAAACAUGACCUUUCAGGGUUUAGGUGGGGCUUUCAGCAUAGAAGAAAGGAAGUGAAAAAACUGUUAUUGAACUGGAUCUUUAGCUCUAACAAGGGACCUGUUAAAUUGACAAUAUAUGUAGUUCUCCAGGCAAAAAUUUGAAUUUCUUGGAGAAAGGUUGACUCAACUUCAAAGGCCAUAAUAAAUCAAAUAAUUCCAUACCACAAUGACCACAAGCUGCAGAAUGGACUGUGGCUGCAGUCUCAUUGAGGGAAGGAUGGGCUUGGUAGCUUACAUUUUAAGUGACAGGGAUAGUGGAGGGUUCUUCCCUCUGCCCCCAUUGACAUGUUUCUCAUCCCACAGGACUGUGUUUGGACCUGGCUUUGUUGGCUGAUGGGGCCUAUUACUUAAAUCAAUUAGGCUAUGUCUAGACUACAGGCUUCUUGCACAAGAAGCUUUUUUCAGA